GACGAAGCGUGCAAGCGUUGUUCGGAAUCACUGGGCUUAAAGGGCGCGUAGGCGGCUUGCCAAGUCAGGGGUGAAAUCUUUCGGCUCAACCGGAAAAGUGCCUUUGAUACUGGCGAGCUUGAGCGAGGUAGGGGCAUGUGGAACUUCCAGUGGAGCGGUGAAAUGCGUUGAUAUCGGAAGGAACGCCGGUGGCGAAAGCGACGUGCUGGACCUCUUCCGACGCUGAGGCGCGAAAGCUAGGGGAGCGAACGGG
rnacentral:rRNA from 1 species